UGGGGAAUUUUGGACAAUGGGGGCAACCCUGAUCCAGCCAUGCCGCGUGAGUGAUGAAGGCCUUCGGGUUGUAAACCGCUUUUGUCGGGGAAGAAACGCUUCAGGCUAAUACCUCGGAGUAAUGACGGUACCCGAAGAAUAAGCACCGGCUAACUACGUGCCAGCAGCCGCGGUAAUACGUAGGGUGCAAGCGUUAAUCGGAAUUACUGGGCGUAAAGCGUGCGCAGGCGGUCGUGCAAGACAGAUGUGAAAUCCCCGGGCUUAACCUGGGAACUGCAUUUGUGACUGCAAGGCUGGAGUGCGGCAGAGGGGGAUGGAAUUCCGCGUGUAGCAGUGAAAUGCGUAGAUAUGCGGAGGAACACCGAUGGCGAAGGCAAUCCCCUGGGCCUGCACUGACGCUCAUGCACGAAAGCGUGGGGAGCAAA
rnacentral:rRNA from 1 species